UCUCCUACGGGAGGCAGCAGUGAGGAAUAUUGGUCAAUGGACGAGAGUCUGAACCAGCCAAGUAGCGUGCAGGAUGACGGCCCUAUGGGUUGUAAACUGCUUUUAUGUGGGAAUAAAUANAGAUUACGUGUAAUCUGUUGCAUGUACCACAUGAAUAAGGACCGGCUAAUUCCGUGCCAGCCGCCGCGGNA
rnacentral:rRNA from 1 species